AUUGAACGCUGGCGGCAGGCCUAACACAUGCAAGUCGAGCGAGCGGCGGACGGGUGAGUAAUGCCUGGGAAUUGCCCAGUCGAGGGGGAUAACAGUUGGAAACGACUGCUAAUACCGCAUACGAUUGGAUUGCCAAUGUGGGAUUAGCUAGUUGGUGAGGUAAUGGCUCACCAAGGCGACGAUCCCUAGCUGGUCUGAGCGGAUGAUCAGCCACACUGGAACUGGGACACGGUCCAUACUCUUACUGGAGUCAGCCGUGGGGAUUAUUGCACAAUGGCGGAAACCCUGAUACAUCCAUGCCGCGUGGUGGAAGAAGGCCUUCGGGUUGUAAAUCACUUUCAUCGAGGAGGCGGUACUCGAAGAAGAAGCACCGGCUAACUCCGCGCCAGCAGCCGCGGUAAUAC
rnacentral:rRNA from 1 species